CAGCCGCCACGGUAAUACGUAGGUGGCAAGCGUUGUCCGGAAUUAUUGGGCGUAAAGGGCUCGCAGGCGGUUUCUUAGGUCUGAUGUGAAAGCCCCCGGCUCAACCGGGGAGGGUCAUUGGAAACUGGGAAACUUGAGUGCAGAAGAGGAGAGUGGAAUUCCACGUGUAGCGGUGAAAUGCGUAGAGAUGUGGAGGAACACCAGUGGCGAAGGCGACUCUCUGGUCUGUAACUGACGCUGAGGAGCGAAAGCGUGGGGAGCGAACAGGAUUAGAGACCCCCGUAGUCCCUGUCUCUUAUAC
rnacentral:rRNA from 1 species